rnacentral:lncRNA from 1 species
CUCAGGCUCCCCAGCGAUGACAUCAUCCCAGGCACGCUGUGCUCAGCACAAGGGCGUUUCAUCAGUUGUUCCUUACACCUUGUGCUGAGGGCUCAGAGUUUCAGGAACACCGUUGCCUUGUGUGCCAUGGUGUCUACUGCAGUUUGGAGCCUAGAGAAGAAGAGGAGGGAGAGGAGCACUGGGAAAGGAGGCCAACAUGCAGAGCCCAGCUCAGGGCACUUGCUGGAGAGCAAGCGAAGCCAAUGUCAAGGCUACAACAAUGGCUUCAGUUUCCUGCAGGCAACAGCGAGUGACCCAAGGCUUUUGACAAAGCAGUCUGUGCUUCAAGAAAGUUCUCCUGGGCCAGAUGCUGGGUUCAGAUGGCCGAGACUGAAUUGGGUGGGGCAAUUAGAUAAAGGGGCUCCCUAACUAGGCAGUUCACAGGGCUACUUUUUUUGUCGUUUUGUUUUGUUUCUGAGACGGGGUUCCAUGGAACUCUGGCUGUCAUGGAACUUGCUCUGUAGACUAGGCUGGCCUUGAACUCAGAGAUCUGACUGCUUCUACCUAGGAUUAAAGGUAUGCACCACCACCACCAGAUGCUCACGGGGCUUUUAAAGAUCCAGAUCAUGGGGCAGGGGAGAGGUAGCUCAGCUGGCAAAGUGUUUGCUGAGAGCAAGCAUGGGGAGCCCUGGGGAGUCUGAUUUCUAAUAUCCAUGUGAGAAAAGCCAGGUGUGUUGGUUGGUGGAUGCUUAUAAAGCGUAGGGAGGUAGAGUUAAGAGGAUCCCUGGGGCUCCUGGCCUAACCAGCGGACCCAGAGAGAGAAGCUAUCACAAAAACACAAGGUGGGUGGUUCCUAAGAAUGACACCCCCCCACACACACAGGUACACACAUGCAUGUGCACCUGCAUGCACUAAUGUGUGCCCUGAUGUCAGUACAUGCACACACACACACACACACUCACACGUUUGAGACAAGGUCUCACAAUGUUGCCUUGGCUGACCUGGAACUUGCUUUGUGGUCUCUAACUCAUGCAGACCAGGUUAGUCCUAACUAAUAGAGCUCUGUCUGUGUCUCCCGAGGUGCAUACCACCACAUCUGCCUGGUGCUCCUUUGAGAUUUUCUUACAGGUGGUCUGGAGGUGAGACUAGGAAUCUGCAUUUUUGAAACAUCUCAUUUCAAAUACAGGGACUGACUCUGGAAGGGAAAACGGGUGCCUUUCCUGUGCGAGGAGGACUUGAAGAGAAAUGACAAUCCCUUGCUGCUGCAUGUAAUUGGUGAGAAGCACACAGACCUGGAAUUAUAAUUAUGACGUUUUAAAUGCCAAGCUCUUCAGAAGUCUGACUUUGCCCUUGCUGUCACCCUGAACCCAAACCCUGCCUCCCACACCCUGAGCAUGCCCCCGAGUCUCUCGGCCAAGCUUCACCUGGGAAAUCUGAGUGACAGGUGACAUGCAGGCAGCUGGAAGACGCACAGUAAACGGAGCCUACGAUGAGCUCAGAAGAGGUCAACCUGGGCUGGAGUGAGACCAUGCUUCAAAGAAAAGUUGGAGGGUUAGAGAGAUGGAUCAGCAGUUAAGAGCACUCGCUGUUCACCCAGGCGGUCUGAUUUCAAUUCCCAGAAUCCACAGGGCAGCUCAGAACCAUCCACAGUUCCAGGUGACUGCUGACCUCCACAGGCAGGAGGAUCUCUGAAUUCAAGGCCAGCCUGGACAAUAAGCAACCCUCCCCCCCCCCCAA